rnacentral:rRNA from 1 species
CCUACGGGAGGCAGCAGUGGGGAAUAUUGGACAAUGGGCGGAAGCCUGAUCCAGCCAUGCCGCGUGUGUGAAGAAGGCCUUUUGGUUGUAAAGCACUUUAAGCGAGGAGGAGGCUACUAGUAUUAAUACUACUGGAUAGUGGACGUUACUCGCAGAAUAAGCACCGGCUAACUCUGUGCCAGCAGCCGCGGUAAUACAGAGGGUGCGAGCGUUAAUCGGAUUUACUGGGCGUAAAGCGUGCGUAGGCGGCUGAUUAAGUCGGAUGUGAAAUCCCUGAGCUUAACUUAGGAAUUGCAUUCGAUACUGGUCAGCUAGAGUAUGGGAGAGGAUGGUAGAAUUCCAGGUGUAGCGGUGAAAUGCGUAGAGAUCUGGAGGAAUACCGGAUGGCGAAGGCAGCCAUCUGGCCUAAAUACUGACGCUGAGGUACGAAAGCAUGGGGAGCAAACAGGAUUAGAUACCCUGGUAGUCCAUGCGUAACGAUGUCUACUAGUCGUUCGGGUUCGUUGUAGACUUAGUUGGCGCGNGCUACGCG